AGAGUUUGAUCCUGGCUCAGGAUGAACGCUAGCGGCAGGCUUAAUACAUGCAAGUCGUGGGGCAGCACAGGUAGCAAUACUGGGUGGCGACCGGCAAACGGGUGCGGAACACGUACGCAACCUUCCUUUAAGCGGAGAAUAGCCCAGGGAAACUUGGAUUAAUACUCCAUAACACAAUCGGGUGGCAUCACUUGAUUGUU
rnacentral:rRNA from 1 species